GGGUUGUGAGGUUAAGCGACUAAGCGUACACGGUGGAUGCCCUGGCAGUCAGAGGCGAUGAAGGACGUGCUAAUCUGCGAAAAGCGUCGGUAAGGUGAUAUGAACCGUUAUAACCGGCGAUGUCCGAAUGGGGAAACCCAGUGCAAUUCGUUGCACUAUCGUUAACUGAAUACAUAGGUUAACGAGGCGAACCGGGGGAACUGAAACAUCUAAGUACCCCGAGGAAAAGAAAUCAACCGAGAUUCCCCCAGUAGCGGCGAGCGAACGGGGAGCAGCCCAGAGUCUGAAUCAGCUUGUGUGUUAGUGGAACGGUCUGGAAAGUCCGACGGUACAGGGUGAUAGUCCCGUACACCAAAAUGCACAGGCUGUGAACUCGAAGAGUAGGGCGGGACACGUGGUAUCCUGUCUGAAUAUGGGGGGACCAUCCUCCAAGGCUAAAUACUCCUGACUGACCGAUAGUGAACCAGUACCGUGAGGGAAAGGCGAAAAGAACCCCGGCGAGGGGAGUGAAAAAGAACCUGAAACCGUGUACGUACAAGCAGUGGGAGCACCUUCGGGUGUGACUGCGUACCUUUUGUAUAAUGGGUCAGCGACUUAUAUUCUGUAGCAAGGUUAACCGUAUAGGGGAGCCGCAGGGAAACCGAGUCUUAACUGGGCGUUAAGUUGCAGGGUAUAGACCCGAAACCCGGUGAUCUAGCCAUGGGCAGGUUGAAGGUUGGGUAACACUAACUGGAGGACCGAACCGACUAAUGUUGAAAAAUUAGCGGAUGACUUGUGGCUGGGGGUGAAAGGCCAAUCAAACCGGGAGAUAGCUGGUUCUCCCCGAAAGCUAUUUAGGUAGCGCCUCGUGAAUUCAUCUUCGGGGGUAGAGCACUGUUUCGGCUAGGGGGUCAUCCCGACUUACCAACCCGAUGCAAACUACGAAUACCGAAGAAUGUUAUCACGGGAGACACACGGCGGGUGCUAACGUCCGUCGUGAAGAGGGAAACAACCCAGACCGCCAGCUAAGGUCCCAAAGUCAUGGUUAAGUGGGAAACGAUGUGGGAAGGCACAGACAGCCAGGAUGUUGGCUUAGAAGCAGCCAUCAUUUAAAGAAAGCGUAAUAGCUCACUGGUCGAGUCGGCCUGCGCGGAAGAUGUAACGGGGCUAAACCAUGCACCGAAGCUGCGGCAGCGACACUAUGUGUUGUUGGGUAGGGGAGCGUUCUGUAAGCCUGCGAAGGUGACCUGUGAGGGUUGCUGGAGGUAUCAGAAGUGCGAAUGCUGACAUAAGUAACGAUAAAGCGGGUGAAAAGCCCGCUCGCCGGAAGACCAAGGGUUCCUGUCCAACGUUAAUCGGGGCAGGGUGAGUCGACCCCUAAGGCGAGGCCGAAAGGCGUAGUCGAUGGGAAACAGGUUAAUAUUCCUGUACUUGGUGUUACUGCGAAGGGGGGACGGAGAAGGCUAUGUUAGCCGGGCGACGGUUGUCCCGGUUUAAGCAUGUAGGCUG
rnacentral:rRNA from 1 species